rnacentral:rRNA from 1 species
UACGUAGGUGACGAGCGUUCUCCGGAAUUACUGGGCGUAAAGCGCACGCAAGCGGUCUGACAAGUCUGGCGUGAAAUUCUCUGGCUUAACCAGGGGGGGUCGCUGGAAACUGUUUGGCUAGAGUCCGGAAGAGGAGAAUGGAAUUCCUGGUGUAGCGGUGAAAUGCGCAGAUAUCAGGAAGAACACCCGUGGCUAAGGCGGUUCUCUAGUACGGUACUGACGCUGAGACGCGAAAGCGUGGGGAGCGAACAGG